rnacentral:rRNA from 1 species
UACGUAGGUGGCAAGCGUUGUCCGGAUUUACUGGGCGUAAAGAGCGCGCAGGCGGCCAAGUCAGUCGAAUGUGAAAGCCCCCCGGCUUAACUGGGGAGGGUCAUUCGAUACUGCUCGGCUCGAAGACAGGAGAGGGAAGUGGAAUUCCCGGUGUAGUGGUGAAAUGCGUAGAUAUCGGGAGGAACACCAGUGGCGAAGGCGACUUUCUGGCCUGUUCUUGACGCUGAGGCGCGAAAGCUAGGGGAGCAAACGGG